rnacentral:rRNA from 1 species
GACGAACGCUGGCGGCGUGCUUAACACAUGCAAGUCGAACGAAGAGCGACGGAAGCUUGCUUCUAUCAAUCUUAGUGGCGAACGGGUGAGUAACGCGUAAUCAACCUGCCCUUCAGAGGGGGACAACAGUUGGAAACGACUGCUAAUACCGCAUACGAUCUAACCUCGGCAUCGAGGAUAGAUGAAAGGUGGCCUCUACAUGUAAGCUAUCACUGAAGGAGGGGAUUGCGUCUGAUUAGCUAGUUGGGGGGGUAACGGCCCACCAAGGCGAUGAUCAGUAGCCGGUCUGAGAGGAUGAACGGCAAAAUUGGGACUGAGACACGGCCCAGACUCCUACGGGAGGCAGCAGUGGGGAAUCUUCCGCAAUGGACGAAAGUCUGACGGAGCAACGCCGCGUGAGUGAUGACGGCCUUCGGGUUGUAAAGCUCUGUUAAUCGGGACGAAAGGCCUUCUUGCGAAUAGUGAGAAGGAUUGACGGUACCGGAAUAGAAAGCCACGGCUAACUACGUG